rnacentral:rRNA from 1 species
AACGAACGCUGGCGGCAGGCUUAACACAUGCAAGUCGAACGCCCCGCAAGGGGAGUGGCAGACGGGUGAGUAACGCGUGGGAAUCUACCCAGUUCUACGGAACAACUGAGGGAAACUUCAGCUAAUACCGUAUACGCCCUACGGGGGAAAGAUUUAUCGGAAUUGGAUGAGCCCGCGUUGGAUUAGCUAGUUGGUGAGGUAACGGCUCACCAAGGCGACGAUCCAUAGCUGGUCUGAGAGGAUGAUCAGCCACACUGGGACUGAGACACGGCCCAGACUCCUACGGGGGGCAGCAGUGGGGAAUAUUGGACAAUGGGCGUAAGCCUGAUCCAGCCAUGCCGCGUGAGUGAUGAAGGCCUUAGGGUUGUAAAGCUCUUUCAGUGGGGACGAUAAUGACGGUACCCACAGAAGAAGCCCCGGCUAACUUCGUGCCAGCCGCCGCCGUAACAC